AUUGGGUCCAGCCACGGCGGGAGCAAAAACCCACCAAACUCUGCCCGCCGCUCUCCGAUUGCCCCCAAGAUGGCCGCCGAGGUGGGAUCGAUGUUCCAAUAUUGGAAGCGAUCGGAGCUGCGCCGGCUGCAGAAGGAGCUUAAUUCUGUUGCUUCAGAACUGGCUGCUCGGCAGGAAGAGAGUGAACAUUCUCAUAAACAUUUAAUUGAACUCAGCCGGGAAUUUAAGAAAAAUGUACCUGAGGAAAUCAGAGAGAUGGUGGCUCCUGUCUUACAGAGCUUCCAAGCAGAGGUGAUUGCACUCAGUAAAAGAAGCAAGGAGGCUGAGACGGCUUUCCUCAGUGUUUACAAGCAAUUAAUUGGAGCACCAGAUCCCGUUCCUGUCCUGGAGGUGGCGCAGAGCUCAGAAGAGAGGCUGCAGCAGGUCCAGUGCCUCAACCCCGAGAACCCACCCCUAAAGGAACUCAACAGGCAGCGGAAGAAGCAUCCAGAGCUCCUUGGCACCAGAGAGCAAAGAGGGGGAAUGUCUCCAGCUGGGCUCACAGUGUCAGAGGGAGCCAGGCUCACUAGCAUCAGCAGCAAAGCACUUUUCACAGACACCUUGCUGCAGAGAAAUGAAGCCGAAAAACAGAAGGGACUGCAGGAAGCCCAGAUCACUUUGGCGGCUAGGCUGGGGGAAGCAGAAGAAAAGAUCAAAGUGCUACAUGCAGCGCUGAAGGCGACCCAGACGGAGCAGCUCGACCUGCGGUGUAAAUAUGAUGCAGAGGCGGCUUCAAAGGCAGAUGAAGUAGCAAUGAUCAUGACAAACCUUGAAAAAGCCAAUCAGCGAGCGGAGGCAGCCCAGAGGGAGGUGGAGAGCCUGCGGGAGCAGCUCGCAUCUGUAAAUAGUUCCAUUCGCCUGGCCUGUUGCUCUCCACAAGGACCCAGCGGGGAUAAAGUGAACUAUUCGCUGUGCUCAGGGCCUAGGCUCGAGGCUGCGCUGGCGGCAAAGGACCGGGAGAUUCUCCGACUCCUCAAGGACAUUCAGCACCUCCAGAACUCUCUGCAAGAGCUGGAAGAGUCCUCGGCCAACCAAAUCGCAGACCUGGAGCGGCAGCUCACGGCCAAGAAUGAAGCAAUCGAAAAGCUGGAAGAGAAAUUGCAGGCCCAGUCGGACUACGAGGAGAUUAAAACUGAGCUGAGCAUCCUGAAGGCCAUGAAGCUGGCGUCUGCGAACUGCAGCCUUCCCCAGAGCAUAUCGAAAUCGGACGAGGCGCUGCUUCUAGACAAAGAAUCUUUCUAUUCAUCCCAGAAAUACAUUUUGGAAAAGCCAAAUCUCUUAGCCAACACUGAGGAGGAUCAUUCUGAGGACGAGUUGGUGAAGGAUUCCGUGGGCCCGGAGCAGUCCUACCCGUCUCCCCAGCAGCUCUCUCAGCUCCCUGGGGAAGACCCUGCCUCCCUCAGCCCCCUCCAGCCUCUGCUGGUCCCCACCGUGGCCCAGGAAGCCCAGAGGACUUUUUCGUUGUCCCCUUUCCCCAGCAUGGCUGCGGGCGAGCGGCUGCCGACGGACGCCUUGCUCCCCAAGCAAAUGGUUCCACCAGCGUACAAGAGCGAGAACGGCAGCAUGCUGGCCUUCCCCUCCCCCUUCUACACAGCCAAAGGCCCCCUGCUGCCCACCAACCCCAGCCACACCACCCCCACCAGCGACUCGAGCCCACCCAGCGACCAGUCGGAAGGUAGCAGUGCCAGCUCGGCCGACGAGGAGCAGCUGGACACGGCCGAGAUCGCCUUCCAAGUCAAGGAGCAGCUGCUGAAACACAACAUUGGGCAGCGCGUCUUUGGCCAUUACGUCCUGGGGCUCUCGCAGGGCUCCGUUAGCGAGAUCCUGGCCAGGCCCAAGCCCUGGCGCAAGCUGACAGUGAAGGGGAAGGAGCCGUUCAUCAAGAUGAAGCAGUUCCUCUCCGAUGAGCAGAACGUGCUGGCGCUGAGGACCAUUCAGGUGCGCCAGCGAGGUAGCAUUACGCCGAGGAUUAGAACUCCAGAAACCGGCUCUGACGAUGCCAUCAAAAGUAUCCUGGAACAAGCGAAGAAGGAGAUUGAGUCUCAGAAGGGAGGUGAAACCAAGAGCUCGGCUGCUCCCCAGAUGGUCACCAACGGCAACAGCAACUCAGAAGAGGCCAUUAAAAGCAUCCUGGAGCAGGCCCGGCGGGAGAUGCAGGCCCAGCAGCAGGCCCUGCUGGAGAUCGAGUCCGGCAGCAGGCCCGUGGCCACACCGCCCACAGAGUGCUCCACCUUGGCCGCCGUCAGCCAGAACAUUGUCCAGGCCUACAUCAAGCAGGAGGAGGGGACGCUGGGCACCAGCUCCAGCUCCACGCAGACCCCCCUGACAGUGCUGUCCCCCGCCGCCUUCGUGCAGAGCAUCAUCCGCAAGGUCAAGUCGGAGAUAGGCGACGCCGGCUCCUACUUUGACCAGCACUGGGCGUCGGAGAGGAGCCUAUUCAGCCGGCCCUACACCUCGGUGUCGCCCUCCCUCUCCUCCUCCUCCAGUUACUCCAGCCUGGCCAACGGGCGGGCCUGGCCACGGGGGGAGCCCAGCGAGGAGGAACUGGCUGCGGGCGAGGACGAGCCCCACAAGGCUGUGGAGAUGAAGACCGAAGGGGCCAGCGCAGAGCCGCAGAGCGCCAGCCGCCUCUCCUAUUACCCGGCGUAUGUCCCACGCACCCUCAAGCCAACCGUCCCACCGCUGACCCCAGAGCAGUACGAAAUGUAUAUGUACAGGGAGGUGGACACCCUGGAGCUGACCAGGCAGGUGAAGGAGAAACUGGCCAAGAAUGGAAUCUGCCAGAGGAUCUUCGGGGAAAAGGUGCUGGGCUUGUCCCAAGGAAGUGUGAGUGACAUGCUGUCCAGGCCCAAACCAUGGAGCAAGCUGACCCAGAAAGGCCGGGAACCAUUUAUCAGGAUGCAGUUGUGGCUUACUGAUCAGCUUGGCCAAGGGAUCAGCCAACAACCAAACCCGCCACAGGCCAGCCCUGGGGAGACCCAGUCUUCCCCCUCCCCACCGCCCAGCCCUUUGGAGCAAGACAAAAGCCCCCCAGAGCCACUCACUCUAACUCUGGAGAGCAGCAAAGAAAAUCAGCAACCGGAGAGCAGGUCGGCCUCGUCCCUGAGUGGGAAGAUGUGUCCCAACAGCCAAGCACCCGUGGGCAUCCAGGAAAUUGUCGCCAUGUCGCCCGAACUAGACACUUACUCCAUCACCAAGAAGGUCAAAGAGGUGUUAACGGACAACAAUCUAGGCCAGCGGCUGUUUGGGGAGAGCAUCCUGGGCCUGACGCAGGGCUCAGUUUCCGACCUCCUCUCCAGACCCAAGCCGUGGCACAAGCUGAGCCUGAAGGGCAGGGAGCCCUUCGUCCGCAUGCAGCUCUGGCUCAACGACCCUCACAACGUCGACAAGCUCCGCGACAUGAAGAAACUGGAGAAAAAAGCUUAUCUGAAGCGUCGCUAUGGGCUGAUCAGUGCCAGCUCUGACAGCGAGUCUCCCAACACCCACUCCGAGUGCACCAGCCCCAGCCUCCAGCCCCAAGACCUCAGCCUUCUCCAGGUCAAAAAGCCCCGGGUGGUCCUAGCUCCAGAAGAGAAGGAGGCCCUGAAGAAGGCCUACCAGCUGGAGCCAUACCCAUCCCAGCAGACCAUCGAGCUGCUCUCCUUCCAGCUGAACCUCAAGACCAACACGGUCAUCAACUGGUUCCAUAACUACAGGUCCCGGAUGCGCCGGGAAAUGCUAGUGGAAGGGGCCCAAGACAACGACACAGACCUGGAGCCGAGCAGCUGUGGGAGUGUCGUGCCUGGCAGCAAUUCGGACAGAGUCCCCAACCCGCUGAGCCCUGAUUCGGAGGGGGAGGACAGAAAGCCCGUCUUCAGAGACACGAAGCACAGAGGGCCAAGCGAGACCCUGAUCAGGGUCAAACAGGAGCAGAUGGAGGUGGGGGAGAAGGGCAACCGUUACAAUCACCGGGACUCUUGCAGCCUGGAGCGGGAGACGGAGCACAUGGUGGCCUCCAUCCAGCAUCCCCGGCUUCUCAAAGAAGAGCGGGUGGAUGCUGCCUGUGCAGAGGCCACUCAGGACACUCCCCAAAGCACUGCCAGCCUCACCAGGAGCAGCGCUUUGUACAGCACAGCGCACGCCGCUGGCACUCCCGACUGCUCUGCCCUUCAUCCACCCCAGGAAUCAGAAGGUGGAGAGCGGCUGCACCCUGACCCCAUUAGCUUUAAAUCCGCCUCGGAGUCCUCCCGCUGCAGCCUAGAGGUCUCUCUGAACUCGCCCUCAGCUGCCUCCUCUCCGGGCCUCAUGAUAUCCGUUUCGCCAGUCCCGUCCUCCUCUGCUCCCAUCUCUCCGUCACUGCCAAACACCACCUCCGCCAAGGUGCAGAGUUCAAGUCCUGCCGCAGAUACGGGCUCUUUACAGCAGAGUGUCAAGCUGAACACAACCAUCCAGCGGAGACACGAGAAAAUGGCCAACCUCAACAACAUCAUCCACAGGCUAGAAAAGGCAGCCAAUCGGGAGGAGACCCUGGAGUGGGAAUUCUGAACAGCUGGGCAGCAGCUGAAGAACAAGGAUCUGAUUGGUUGCUUUCGUUGGUGACAAUUAUAAACUUUCUGGAACACGUUGAUGGAACAGGGAGCCCUACUGGCGUAUAUAUAAAAAUAUAUAUAUAUAUAUAUAUUUUGUUAAUUUCAUCACAUGCUGAGGACAAAAGAAAAACCCAUUUGGUUAAUAAGAAAGGGAAGGAAAAACAGCACGUAGCUUCUGAAUCUUCACACCUGAUGAAAGGGAACAAAAAUAAAUAAAACCUGAGCUUUGUUUUAAAUGUGAAAAACUGGAUACACUUUUAGAAAAAAAAUAUUUAUAGACCUCUUUUAGAUAUUUUAAUAAAAGGAUACUUUGGAAUUUAUUAACAGCUUACGCUGUUUUGAUAUUAAAGAUAGCUAUAAAAUCAAGAUGAUGUAGCAUCUGUGUCAUUAAAUGUACACUGAAGUCUUGUAGUUUGCCACUGGAAGAGAUUAAAAAAAAAAAGACAUUGAUCAAAGCCAUUGAGAAGCACUAUAAGACUGACCAAAUUUAAUAAACUUUUGACUAGCGGUUUUUCCACAUUUGUCUGUAAGACACUGCAUUGCUACUUUCCUUUCCAGAGACUGUGGUUAUAGUCCGUGAAGACUCUAAAUUGAAACCCUUGAUGCCAUCGAGUAUGUAUUUAAUUCUGGUGGUAUGUUUUGAACUCUUUGUAACACAGAAUGUCACGUGCAGUUGUAUAUGUUGUAGAAAAUGUCUGCAAUAGCCUUCCUGAACAAGCUGUAGCAUGGUCCAUAACCAAUUCCUUCUACUUCUUCUCGUGCGUAACCCGUGACAAACCGAAAAGAACAAAACAGUUUCAGCGGUUGGCGGCAAAGCUUUCUGUCCGUUUGAAAAACAAACACAAAAAUUGAAAUAACCUAUAUCUCUGAUUUUGGGAGGGAGAAGGGAAAGGUUCACGGGUGCAAAAUGUCUUUUGACGUGUCUGGUUUGAUAGUAACGUACAUUAACAAUGAUCAUGACAUCGCAAGAUAUUUUUUUUUAUGCAUGAGCAUCACCUCCUUUGGUGAGUGGGCGUCGGCCAGCAGGACAUGUUAACUCUGAGCUUUCAAUGCCAGUGCUUGGGGAAAAGCACUCAAAAAAUAGAAACCACUGGCUCGCCUCCGGAGUCGGAAUCUGUUUGUUUUUACCUUAGGUAGUUCCAGCCUUUGAGGCAGAAGCACCUUUAUGUUGCUAGAUUUUGGGCUCUAGAAAGAGUGCCAAGGAAUGAGGAUUAUCCGCCAGGUUUGAAUCCGUCAGCAAAUGGCUUUAUUUACAUGUUAUGGCUUCUGCAUGUCAAAUAGGUCCUCAACUGUUCUCUACAGCAACGCUUGGUUGAAGUUACAGCCUAAGGCCAACCGCCUUCCCCCCGCACUGAGUGAAGGGUAUAAAUCCUGGACAGUAGAAAGGCAGUGCUGCAGCACCUUGGGGCACUUGCUUCCACCCCACCCCACUUUGCAGUGGGCGCCGUUACAACAAAUUGCCCUCUGGUACCCACCGUGUCUUCCCGUGCUUAGAUAGGAGGUCCUUGGUAAUCGACCGGGGCCCUGAUUCAGCAAAGCCCUUUUAAGCGCAUGCUUUGACUUCAGUAAAGCCUAAGAUGCGUGUGAAGUUACACGUCAGUUUUUGCUGAACUGCGGCCUUCGGGCCUGAUCCAGAGCUCGCUGAAGAGGGCAGGAGUCUUGCCAUUGAUUUCCAGGGGCUUUGGAUCAGGCUUUCAUUACAGAGAGGCACAUGCUGAGUUAUCAGCCAUCGGACCAGACAUUUUAGCAGCAUCAGUUGCACGUGUAUCUCUGUGCUGUUGAAUUGCCCCUGCAAUGGAUUUUUCUCCCAUUCUCGCAGCUAAAGACUGUUGAAUAGACCAAGAUCUAUCUUAAUCCGUGCCAGUGAUCAAGCCCCGGCUAACGCAAUGCCUUUCAAAGAAGACUGGUUUAAAUGAAUUGUGUUGGUUUGUUCAGUGCUGGGCGGGGGCUUUUAACAGCCUUUGGCAAGGACCAGAAUGCAGCAUGCAAAGACCUACCCAUUCCCUCCCUUCACAGAUGCAGCCAGGUAAAAAUCUCCGCACCGAAUGGCAACUGAAGUGUCGUGAGCGCACAUCUGCCAGGCACAGAGGCGAUGCAUGGAAUACUUUUCCACUGUAUACAUUUUUAUCAGAAUAGAAGGUAUUUUUAUACUCGGGUGGUAGUUAAUGACCAAUUUUAAAAGCAAAUCCAUUUGACUCCAUGACGGCCAGGAUCCAUCUGCCAUAUUUUAGCAACCAUAGCCCUGUCUGAACAAGUGAGAGCUUGUCUAACGGAACAAUUUGUAUGGUUUCAAACCCCAACAUGCCAUAGAAGGGCGAGGCAUACACGUUGACUACUAUUCUUAGUGUGCUAGUUGUUAGCUUUAGUGGAACGGGAUUUGAUUAAGCACUUAGUCUAGUUUUUGAACACAGAAAUCCUGUUGUACUAAAAGCUAGGUGGGACAUGUUGAUCACUUUUUGUUAGGCUCAUGUACUGUACUUAAAAAGUUUCUAUGAGAUUGAUGAACUUUGUUAAAAAUUUUAAAAGGAACAAGUUCUGUAAAGAGCCACUAAAUACAGAAGUUGUAUAAUAACUUUGGUGUUUCGAUCUGUUUUGUUCUGAGUUGGUUCCUAAGCAAUCCCUUUCCUCCCUCAUCUCCCUGCUUUCUGAACCUGCAAGGAGUUAGUUCUUGAUGACACAACACACCACGGAUAUAUGUGUCGUCUUGUCUAGGGCCCAGCUGCAUCCUGUACAGUCCUCCCCCAGUGCUGCGCUAGGGAUGGGCUGAACCAAACCCCUCGCUCCAAACAGCCCUGGACCCGGAGCAGCGUUCAGAAUCCAACUGUGGAGCUGGAUUUGAAUUCUGCAACCAGCCCCAAGCUAACCAUGGCACAAACUAACCCCCAACUGCCAACCCACCCCAAAUCCAGAGCCCAGGGGCCAUCUCUACCGACGCCCCGUCUUUCCGCAAGCAGUUCACGCUGCACUUCCGCUGCAGGGAUGUUCCAGCUGCUAGCCAGCCGGCAGGGUCAGGCAAAGCUAAAUCCCAGCCAUGCUCAUGCUAUGAGCUCCGGAGGCCCAAAGAGAGCGAUGAAGCGAGGCGCAGAGGCUUUGGAUUAGCAGGCGUAGCUGUUCUCUUGUGUUGGGCUUUGGUCAUUCGUUCCCCAUUCUCCCCCUGCCCCCAGCAUACCCGAAAACGAACACUGGCCACCCAAGAGACAGCAGCGGUGAGGUAGCAGGAGCCGCCCAGCCCUGGAGGGAGAACAAGCAACAGCAUCUCUAGCACGGCUGCGUGAGAGACAAAGCAAGUCCUGCUGCAUGGAGCAUGGCUACAGCCUAGGUCAGCGUCCUUCCCGCCUCCCUGCAGGGAGCCAACCCCACCUGUGUCUGCACCUCAGCAUGGAGCUGCCUUUCUGCUGUGGCUCACAGCUCAUUUUCCUGUAUCGCUCGCCUCUGGCCCUCCUGCCGCAGAUGCUGCGGUUCACGCUGGCAUAGAUCCCACCUGCGCUGCCACCAUCUCGGGCACAGCAUCAAGGCCACUGCCGCUGGAUUUCCCCUUUCAUGGGCCACCAAGAGCACCUGGCUUCAGGCUGUCGGCUCCCACAAUCAUCCAUAACCUUAAUGUGACCAGGGCGUUCAAGGCGAUUGCCCUGUCAGUUACAGGUCGCCCCCAGAGGCCCAGUCGCUGAUUGGCGGCUAGAUGCUUCACAACUACACAAUGGGAGAUGCUCCGUAAUGGGGCGGGCUGUCCCCUGGAAGGGCCGGGAAGCAGCCAGCCCCGUUCUGAAGAGGAGCCCAGCAGGCAGGUGCUGGGAAUCGCCUGUCCCAGCUGGAUAGCAUCAGGUGAUUGGAGCUAAGCUAGCUAGGAGAUAUAAACAAGGGCCCCGGCAAGCUGUGCGUGCUUGGGCCCAGCGGAGGGCUGGAGGAUGCUCUCUGGGGACUGUGAGGAGGACUGGGAGAGAGCAGGCAGGCCUUGUGGACACCCCAGGCUGGGAAAUUACCUGCCCAGAAAGCUGAUGGAGGUCUGAGGGCCCCAUGGGCUAGGAGGGGCACUUGAUAUUACUUGAUCUUGUGAACAUAAGAACGUCCAGACUGGGUCAGCUCAAAGGUCCACCUAGCCCAGUGUCCUGUCUUCUGACAGUGGCCAAUGCCAGGGACCUCAGAGGGAAUGAACAGAGCAGGGAAUCAUCAAGUGAUCCAUCCCCUUUGCCUUGUUUCCUUUCUUUUGCAUUGAAGAUUAAACAGGACCCGGAAGUAAAGGCUAUGAACUGACCAAAGUGUGGCCAGUUGCUUUCCCCAGGCUGGCGAUUGAAUCCACCAGCCUCCACGAUCUCUGCCCCAAAGCUCCCUCUCCUGCUAUUGGCUCUCCCGAGUGCCCCACUGAACCAAAGGCAACUGCAGCGUCAGGGCGUAAGAUGAAGGAGAACCAGGCAGGGACGCACAUCGUAAAGCUUGGUGUAUAUUUUAAGGCUGGGAAUGAAACUCAAUGGGAGUUGGGCACCUCACUCUCCCAGGUGAUUUUAAAAAUCCUGCAUCCAAAUCUUGUCUCUCUUGGAGUGACAUGGCAGCCACAGGGCAGCUGUUUGCUUCUGCUAGCUGCAGACUUGCUGUUUUUGUUUUGUUAGGUGCUAACAGCUAUGUCAAAAGGGCUCAGAACAAACUGCAAAUGGGGCAAAAUACUCUGGUGCUCACCAGAUUAGCACCAGGAGCCUGUCUUGCUUUCAAAGCGGGCCCUGCCCCAAUGGGCUAGUGAUACACAUGGUGGAAAUAGAGGUUAGAAAAAUCAGAGGAAAUGAACCGGCCAUGAUGCAUAAUCCCCUUCUGAUUGCAGGGCCGCUGCUCAGUGCUGGGAAUGGCAGAUAGAACAAGGCACAGCAGAUGCCAGGAAAAUGGAGUUGCAAGAAAUUUAGCCCAAUGUCCUGGUUUAAAGAGGUGAUGACUAAGUUUUUUUUAACACUACAAUGCAUUUCCCUAAAAGAGAGUUUGAGCGCAAUUCUGGGUCCUCAUCCAAAACCAGCAAAGUUGACUUCAAUGGAGCUUAGAUUAGUCCUGUCUAUAAGCAAUAGCUUUGAAACUGCUUCCCUAUUUUGCUCUCAGUAAAGUGGUGUUACAUAAGGGGUCUGAUUUUGAGCUCAGCUAGGCAGGCAUAAAAUGAAGAUGGCUGAAAAAUGCAGGGGAGAAAAAAAUGCAAUGAACAUUUUUAGAAAUGCUUUGCAGAAAAUUGUUGCAAUUGUGACUAUCUGAGAUGCUCUGGUUCCCCAGCUUGGAAAGCUGAAAACAUUUUUCAUGAAAUAUGUUGAAAUAUUUUGGGGGAAAAAAGUGUUUCUGAAAAAUUGACACACUCCAGGUGUAAAACUGGAGUAACUCCAGUGGGUGCUUUAGGACCUCAAUGCUCCUGAAAAUCCAGUCGCAGCUGUGCCCUAAACAGAACGUUUUGGCCUAAUAUGUUUGGGUCAGGAAUCCCAUGGCACGGCACAUCCCAUAGCUAAAGGUUAACCCAGUAUAUUAUACCUAGGGCCCUACCAAAUUCGGGGUCAAUUUCACAGUCAUAGGGUUUUAAAAAUCAUAAAUUCCAUGAUUUCAGCUAUUUAAAUUUGAAAUUUCACAGUGUUGUAAUUGUAGGGGUCCGGACCCAAUAUGGAGUUGUGUGGGUAACAAGUUAUUGUGGGGGAGGGGGGUUUGUGGUCCUGCUGCUCUUACUUCUGCACUGCUGCUGGUGGCGGCGCUGCCUUCAGACCUGGGCGCCCAGCCAAUAGCUGCUGCUCGCCAGCCACCCAGCUCUAAAGGCAGUGCAGAAGUAUGGGAGGGCAAUACUGAGAUCCCCCCUGCAACUCCCUUUUUGGUCAGGACUCCCUGUUUGACAAACACUGGUCUCCCCAUGAAAUCUGUGUAGUACAGGGUAAAAACACACAAAAGACCAGAUUUAAAGGGGGGAAACCAGUUUUCACACUCCGUUUUUCAUAGCUGUGAACUUGGUAAGACCCUAAUUAUAGCCCUGGCAAAAUCAUUCUCUGAGAAGAACAGGAAGACCCUGGUGUGACUCACAGGAGCCCUGUUACUGCAAGUGGCGACUUCUGAUUGUGGAAAACAGCUGUUUUAAAGAGAUGCUGGCAACUAGCUUUGAGUCUCAAUCUUAAAUGUUUGAGUAAAGGGUUCUCUCAGUGUGGGGGCGUUGGGCUGGUUUGGAGUCACAUUCCCCCACAGCAGCAGGCGAGGGGCCCAGUUUAUGUCUAGUGCUCAAGUCGAUCGAAAUGUCCAGGAAUAAAAAGUGCCCUAGAUGGAGAAGAGUCACGCUGGUCCUGGGCUGCCAGCCUCCUGUUGAUCCAGGGAACAGGAGAUCCAGCCCCCUGCUGCCAUCCAGUCUCCCUGCUCGUCAUCAAAUCCCCAUUUGCCUUCCCCUCCCUUCUGAAACCCAACCCACCUUUUAGGGCUAGCACCAUCUGGCCCUUCACAAGCUCAGGUGCCUACUGGCAUCAAUUUCCUCUGCCUUUAAACCGACCACAUGAUGCAGUCCUCUGAGCCGCUCAAAGCUCAUUCAGCGUUCCCUGGCACGUGGCCUUUGUAACCUUCACCCCCACCCUGUGCUAGCAGCAGCUGCUACUGAUCCAGGGGGCUGACUAACAGGAGUUGGAGCUGGCCCUGGAGGGUACCCUAGAGCUAAACAGCCUCUGAACUGCAGGGUUUCCACUGGGAUGGCUGUUCUCCUCCUCACAUGCAUCGUUUGUAUCCCCCUCCUCACCGUAGUUAAGCUACAUGCCUCACACCUGCCAGGCCUUUGCAUUGUGUAUUGGCACAGAUACUGUGUAACACGUGUGCGCUAGGCACUGUACCAAGGUCAGUUAUGUUUUCUCACAGCAGGCCUGAGCCAGAGCAGCUGCUUUGGAGGGGCACUGAGCCCCUUCCAUUCCCAUGGACUCCAAGGGGACAUACAAAUGCUGAUGGCUCUCAGCAUCAGGUGCUAGGUCAGUACUGCUUAAGUCAAUGAGCGACUUGUCCGGUCUAUCAGUGGGAGCCACAUCUUGUCUGACUAUUGCACUUUGCAGGCAUCAGUAAUGCACCGGGUUUCUGGCACCGGCUCUGCAAAAGGGUGGCUGUUGCUCAGCUCUCUGGGCUCGGCAGGUGCACAGCUAGGGGUUCCAUGCUCCAGAGUGAGGGAUGAUCCAUUUUUUCCACAGUAGAGGGGGCUUGGAAGCCAGCUUGUGGUGGGCAUUUUUUUUUUUUAAAUGACUUGACUUCUGAGACUGUAAAGUUAUAGGGCAUGGUGCCUGAGGGCUAGUGAUUUGCACAAUUCUGAACGAAGAAAAGGCCUCGUGGAAAUAUCUGAUUUAGUCUUGGACGACUGAAGAAAAAUACACUCAGCAGCGGGUUUGCAGACAAUCCAUCUUCCCUCGGAUGACGUGUCUGCUGUUGCCCAAGCUGGCAAUUCUUGGAAUGAUUUUAUAUGUGCAAGUACUACAUGCAAAAUAUCUAUGAAUAGUUCCACUUCCCGCACUUUCAAAAAAAAAUCCCCCCUUUGGAGAUUUAUGAUCUCAGCUCUAUGUUGUUAUUCAUAGCUUGCAAAAAAGUAUGAAUUUUGGUCUGACUUGCACUUUUCCAUUAUUUUAGUUUUAAAAAAAUAAAAUAUUCUUCCUUCAUCAUAGACACGAGAGAGCUUCUACUGAGAGAUGACAGGUUGUUUAUAGAGCAAGGGCUAGAAGCAGUUUGUGAUCAGUUUAUCUUUGUGGAUUUCCCAGUACUAAACUAGCAGUUAUCAAAUGGAAAACAAACCCUUGGUGCCUCGCAGUUCUGUAGUAUUUGGAUCUCCCAGCAUUUUCCAGGCUGUAAGGAGUGGAUUUCAAACUGUAACCUUGGCGGAUUCUUUAAUUAUUCCAUUAGGUAUAAUCCCUCCCUCCCCCCCUAACAUUCUACUUGAAUUUGCUUCCCCCUAGGCCCAGCAUGAUAAGUGGACCUUUGACCUAGUUCAGAGUAAGUCUAUGUGAUAGUAUUUACAUAAGCAGAACAGCUCUCAGGCUAUCAGCAGCUUUGGUCCUGACACUUUCACUAUUAAAAGCAUGUGCCUCCACCAUUUGAGCUAAACAGUAAUUCCAUGACCUGGUAGCAGUAGUAAACUCUUGUCCUGUACUGGGAGGGGGGACACAGUCCCACAUUCUGCCAGAGUGGGUUACACAUGAUAGUGUUCUCAGGACCCGUUGUGUAAAAUUGUUAGGAGUUAAACCUUAGUAUAACUAAAGUCAAUGUCAAAACUCCCAUUGACUGGGGUGGCACCAGGUUCUGGAAUUAAAACAUGCAGGGUGUUUAGACUAACAAGUCAAACCUUGAACACAUGUAGAAAGCUCAACCAAGCCGCAUUUCUAAAAUAACUUUGAGUAAGGAAGUAAAUACAUUCUGAGAGAGGGAACAUGUACAUGUCCCUUCUGAAAGAAAAUUAAUGGCAGCCAAACUUUUAAUGACAUUUCUUUGCAAAAUGUUACACUCUUGCAAGUUACAAAAUAGCUCUCCCUUUGGAAUAAAAACACACCAUCUUUGACAGUCAGACACUAACAUAAAUAAGGAUACCAGUAAAUUAAAAUUAUGGUACAAUAACAUGAAACACAAAAUGGAAAGGCCAGGCGUACAUAUAUAUAAAAUGCACCACAACCCAGCUGGAGAAUGAGGAGGGGAUAAUCCACUAAAACAUGGCUUGUCUUAGUGUUUAUAAGAUGUGUGUAAGAUAGAGUUAAGCGGGCACACACACACACACACACACACACACAGAGCUUUAAUACAGCCCAUGAAUCAUUCAACGCCUCGCUGAUGGUAUCAUUCUUUGUCUGACAUGUUCUUGUUCAAUACGCAAGAGAAUUCCCCUCCUCCCCCCCCAGUGUUUCAGGGACACUUCCCCUUAAAGACAACGGACACUGGGAUGCUGACAGCUUAACACAUUCAGAGGUUUGGAUGCCUGUAGCACUCAGCUGUUUCUGCCUAGCCAUGUAUUUACUCCACGUGCAGUGAAAAAAAAAAAAUCCCAGAAUUUUCAUUCCCUGCCAGCACUACUCCAAGGCAGUCAAGUGUCAUAGGAGUUCGUGUCCAUGCAGUAUUUUCCAGUACGCAGAAGCCUUUGACAACCAAGCUGGGCUGUAAUGCUGGGAUGAUCAUGUGUUCCUUAAAACCCUUGCCCCGUCUAAAGGCGAGCUCACCUCUUACACUACAACAUGUGCAUCCACAGAGCCAAAUUCAGCCUGGAGGUAAGUCCACUGACUUCCCUGGCGUUACUGCAGGGAUGAAGUUGCCCCCGUGAGUUUAAGGGCUCCUAACGAGCACAGGCUGUACACACGAUGCCAACCACUGUAGAUUGCGAAAUGAUCCAAGUUAAACUCUUCUGCAGUUCUACCAGGUUGCUCUAGGUAACAUGAAAGAAUUUCACUCCUACUGUGUAAAGUUAAUUGUGAUUUGCUGUCCAGAUGCAAUUGUCAAGUCCUAAGAAACCCCAUUUAUCUAGUGCAAGAGUCUGGCUCCUCUCUUCUCUAUUUUUAAUGUCCCUGGAAACUGAGAACAUUUGGAAGAGGCAGAUUUCCCACAAAGCAGUUUGUGCUGAAGUAGUCGAAGUUGUCCAUUGCACUCGCCUACCUAACUGCAGUCAAAGACGGUGUGGUCAAAAGCAGAUCUCAGUCAGCGUUGCUUGCUGGGAUUGUCAAUGGAUUCCUCGUGGGGGUCGAUUCUGUGCCCAGGAGAACUCGGUGUUAAGUACGGUAAGGGCAUGUGUCACGGGUAAGGCAAGCAUUCAAAUGCUAGCAUCCUUCCCUGGGAGAACAGAUUUAAAAUGUACCCACAUGACAGGCUGGAGAGGAAAAAAAUAUUUUUUAAAGAAAGAUCUUAUAAAUAACUUUUCAGUAUCACAAAUAAAUUCACACACACACACAGACCCAGCAGUGAAUCUGUGGCAUGUUAUACGGUACAUACAAGGAAUACAAAACAAGGUGCAUGGAAAUGACCUCAGACCUUAUGCUCAGGGAGACCAUUUUCUAUUUAGGCAAUCUUAGGAGUGUGAAAUAUUCCCAAGAACUGGACAUCACUCAACGAGCCAGGAGCUGCAAUAAUAUAUGCAUCUCUUCAAUGGAGACGUUGUCCCACAAUGGAACUGACAGGAGAGAGUAAAAAUUAAAAUAUUUCAGCAAUAAAAAAUGUUAAAAAAAAAAAA